UAGUGAGAAACAAAAUAAUUGUAUCUAGUUUCGACCUAGAAUUUUGGUAAAAAAUCUCUACCCUCACUAA
rnacentral:tRNA from 1 species